AGGACGAACGCUGGCGGCGUGCUUAACACAUGCAAGUCGAGCGAGGCCCUCUCUUCGGAGAGGUGCCCUAGCGGCGAACGGGUGAGUAACACGUGGGCAACCUGCCCCUAGCACUGGGAUAAGCCCGGGAAACCGGGUCUAAUACCGGAUAUGACCUUCAAGGGCAUCCUCGAAGGUGUAAAGGAUUCUGGCUAGGGAUGGGCCCGCGGCCUAUCAGCUUGUUGGUGGGGUAAUGGCCCACCAAGGCAACGACGGGUAGCCGGCCUGAGAGGGCGACCGGCCACACUGGGACUGAGACACGGCCCAGACUCCUACGGGAGGCAGCAGUGGGGAAUAUUGCACAAUGGGCGAAAGCCUGAUGCAGCGACGCCGCGUGAGGGAUAACGGCCUUCGGGUUGUAAACCUCUUUCAGCUCCGACGAAGCGAAAGUGACGGUAGGAGCAGAAGAAGCACCGGCCAACUACGUGCCAGCAGCCGC
rnacentral:rRNA from 1 species